UUAUAAGAGACAGCAGCAGCCGCGGGAAUACGGAGGGUGCAAGCGUUAAUCGGAAUUACUGGGCGUAAAGCGCACGCAGGCGGUCUGACAAGUCAGAUGUGAAAUCCCCGGGCUUAACCUGGGAACUGCAUUUGAAACUGUCAGGCUGGAGUCUUGUAGAGGGGGGUAGAAUUCCAGGUGUAGCGGUGAAAUGCGUAGAGAUCUGGAGGAAUACCGGUGGCGAAGGCGGCCCCCUGGACAAAGACUGACGCUCAGGUGCGAAAGCGUGGGGAGCAAACAGGAUUAGAUACCCCAGUAGUCCCUGUCUCUUAUAC
rnacentral:rRNA from 1 species